rfam:Agrilus planipennis Contig10042, whole genome shotgun sequence.
AAAUAAACAAAAAACAAUAGAAUUGUUAUCAGUUGCUAUUAUUAGUAAUUAACAAUUAUUUUGAAAUCCUAGAACGGCCUGAGGUAGAGGGGUUUUAGUCGGUAGGUCCGAGGACUUCUUCCUCGGGAAUCCGACACUACCCAGUCGUACGGACGGCUGGGUAUCUUUUGAAGAUUUCCCCUCUUCCACGAAA